rnacentral:rRNA from 1 species
UACGGAGGGGGCAAGCGUUAUUCGGAAUUAUUGGGCGUAAAGGGCGCGUAGGCGGCUAGAUGUGUCAAAGGUGAAAUCCCUCGGCUCAACUGAGGAACUGCCUUUGAAACUGUCUGGCUUGAGGCCGGGAGAGGGUAGCGGAAUUCCCAGUGUAGCGGUGAAAUGCGUAGAUAUUGGGAGGAACACCAGUGGCGAAGGCGGCUACCUGGACCGGUUCUGACGCUGAGGCGCGAAAGCUAGGGGAGCAAACAGG